rnacentral:misc_RNA from 1 species
GAAAUGCGAUAAGUAAUGUGAAUUGCAGAAUUCAGUGAAUCAUCGAAUCUUUGAAAGCACCUUGCGCUCCUUGGUAUUCCUUGGAGCAUGCCUGUUUGAGUAUCAUGAAAUCUUCAAAGUAAAUCUUUUGUUAACUCAAUUGGUUUCUACUUUGGUAUUGGAGGUCUUUGCAGCUUCACACCUGCUCCUCUUUGUUCAUUAGCUGGAUCUCAGUGUUAUGCUUGGUUCCACUCGUCGUGAUAAGUUAUCUAUCGCUGAGGACACUGUAAAAGGUGGCCAAGGUAAAUGCAGAUGAACCGCUUCUAAUAGUCCAUUGACUUGGACAAUACUUUUAUGAUCUGAUCUCAAAUCAGGUAGGACUACCCGCUGAACUUAAGC